AGUAAGAAGAAUUACUUUUCAUCUCUGCAAAGCCUUGAGAGCUGUGGUAGGCACUGGUUCCAAGGAAGCUUCCUCUAUAGGUGGAAAUUUAUGAUUGAGGAAAUCCAGGAUUGGAGAGAUUCUGUGAUGUGUCCAAAGUUGGCAGAACCAGCACUUGAUCUCAAGUUGUCUCCAGCCUACGGUCAAUACAUGUAGUUCGGGCUUCCCUGGUGGCGCAGUGGUUAAGAAUCCGCCUGCCAAUGCAGGGGACACGGGUUCGAGCCCUGGUCCCGGAAGAUCCCACAUGCCGCGGAGCAGCUGGGCCCGUGAGCCACAAUUACUGAGCCUGCGCGUCUGGAGCCUGUGCUCUGCAACAAGAGAGGCCGCGAUGGUGAGAGGCCCGCGCACCGCGAUGAAGAGUGGCCCCCACUUGCCACAACUGGAGAAAGCCCUCGCACAGAAACGAAGAUCCAACACAGCCAUAAAUAAAUAAAUAAAUAAAAUUUAAAAGAGAUAAGCAAAACAUAAAAAAAAAAAAUACAUGUAGUUCUAUGCAUUCUCUUUAAUGGCUGCAUAAUGUUCCACAGUGAGGUUCCAUUGUGUAAAUACAUUCUAAUUUGUUCAACUACUCCCCUUUUGAUGGAUUUGACUUUAAAUACAAUGUUAAUUAUAUAUUAAGGACUCCUGUAAGUUUGUAUCUGUUUCCACACUCUCUACGUUGUUCCAUUGAUAACUGCCCAUGACAAUGCUAUACUGUUUUGAGUUUUCUUAUAAAAUCAAAUAUCUGG